rnacentral:rRNA from 1 species
UACGUAGGGUGCAAGCGUUAAUCGGAAUUACUGGGCGUAAAGCGUGCGCAGGCGGUUCUGUAAGUCAGUUGUGAAAUCCCCGGGCUCAACCUAGGAACUGCAUCUGUGACUGCAUAGCUAGAGUACGGUAGAGGGGGAUGGAAUUCCGCGUGUAGCAGUGAAAUGCGUAGAUAUGCGGAGGAACACCGAUGGCGAAGGCAAUCCCCUGGACCUGUACUGACGCUCAUGCACGAAAGCGUGGGGAGCAAACAGG